ACUGAACGCUUUCUUUAUUCCUAACACAUGCAAGUCGAACGGCAGCACAGUAAGAGCUUGCUCUUACGGGUGGCGAGUGGCGGACGAGUGAGGAAUACAUCGGAAUCUACUUUUUCGUGGGGGAUAACGUAGGGAAACUUACGCUAAUACCGCAUACGACCUACGGGUGAAAGCAGGGGAUCUUCGGACCUUGCGCGAUUGAAUGAGCCGAUGUCGGAUUAGCUAGUUGGCGGGGUAAAGGCCCACCAAGGCGACGAUCCGUAGCUGGUCUGAGAGGAUGAUCAGCCACACUGGAACUGAGACACGGUCCAGACUCCUACGGGAGGCAGCAGUGGGGAAUAUUGGACAAUGGGCGCAAGCCUGAUCCAGCCAUACCGCGUGGGUGAAGAAGGCCUUCGGGUUGUAAAGCCCUUUUGUUGGGAAAGAAAAGCAGCAGGUUAAUACCCCGCUGUUCUGACGGUACCCAAAGAAUAAGCACCGGCUAACUUCGUG
rnacentral:rRNA from 1 species